UUUGGUAGUGAUGGGUUAUACAAAUAAACAAAUUGCUGAAGAAAUGGAGGUAAGCGUAAGCACCAUAAAAAGCCUCGGGCGUAAUUUCCCAUUAAGAAAGAGUGACCUUUCGAGUGAUAUCAGCGUGAAUAUUCUGUAAAAGUCUAAUCAUUGCAAAAUGCACUUCUGAAGAUAUCAGCAAACCCGUAGACCAGUAGAUAAUGUUGCUUUCUCGUUUUGUGCUCGUUAAUUUUUGCUGAAUGGGAACCAGUGGUCUCAUCCUGUGCUGCUCUAUUUCUAUGUUGCUUUUAUUGGUUUUGGGAUUGUCUUUCUAGAUAAUUGCAUGGUUCUAGUAUUUAAAAUAUUCAUUGUAUUUCAUUUAGUAUUUGAAAAAAUAAAUAUUCAUUGUAUAAUUGGCUUUUUAAAUAAUUGCAUGAUUCUAGUAUUGAAAA